rnacentral:rRNA from 1 species
AGCAGCAGCCGCGGGAAUACAGAGGGUGCAAGCGUUAAUCGGAUUUACUGGGCGUAAAGGGCGCGUAGGUGGUUAUUUAAGUGAGAUGUGAAAGCCCCGGGCUUAACCUGGGAACUGCAUCUUAUACUGGGUAACUGGAGUGCAGUAGAGGGUAGUGGAAUUUCCGGUGUAGCGGUGAAAUGCGUAGAUAUCGGAAGGAACACCAGUGGCGAAGGCGGCUACCUGGACUGAGACUGACACUGAGGCGCGAGAGCGUGGGGAGCAAACAGGAUUAGAUACCCCCGUAGUCCCUGUCUCUUAUAC